AGAUCAAUACGUGCAGUGCUGAAUCUCGCAUCAGUUAAUGAAAAAAGCAUCCAAUAUUCAUUGCUUUCCCGACAGUUAAAAGAUGUACCUCUCACCCUUCACUAUCCAAUUAUGAAACAUGGGCCCUAAAAGUAUUAACAAAAGAGUAACACAAUUUGAAACCCAUGAAACGAUGCUGCGAGCAGCUCAAAGUAGGAUAAUAAAAUCUUUUUGAAGAAUUAUUGAUUGAUGCAGCUGAUGGUCAUUAGGCAGAUGCAGCCCUGAUGUCAACCCCAAUGGCCCAGCUGUGGUCUAGCCCCACAGGUGAGAAGUGAGGCCACUAGAUGCCUUUGAGCAUUGACUCCUGGCCUUAACUGCUUAUGAGAAAAGUGCAAUCAGAAUUCAAAGACAGGAUGCCAUGAGUAAAUGGUCAUCUCUCACUAAUCCAGCAAUAUUAAGUUAGAUUGUAGGCAGCUGCCUCUUUGUUCUCAUCUAUGCCCUCUGCCCAGUGCAUCACCACUGAAAGCCCAGCUGUCAGAGCCCCAUGCAGACGUUAGCUUCUGCUCUGGGACUGGCAAGAGCUAAAUGGUACCACAACUGAAAGGGUAUAGCAUCAAGACUUCAUGUUGAAUUGGACUACAUCUUUUCGGGAGAUGGCAUUGGGCUAAUAGUUAAAAUAAAAAGCAAUAAUCCAUGAGAAAGACUUUUUCUUCCUGCCAAUGGUGUCACUGGCUUUCACUAUGCAAUUGUCUUGAUUCUAUGAAAUACCUCUUGGCACUACUGUCCAGAUUCAAAAAAGGACAGAGACAUGAAACACGGGUCUUGGAGGAAGCAAAGAUUAAAGUACCAGUCCUGACAGCACCAUUCACCUGCUUUCUAAGGCCUCUGGAGGAUUCAGUUUUUUUACCAUUGCAAGUUCUGAUGACAUCUCACCUACGGACCCAUAAAAUUCAGUAAAAUCUGAAGCAGGAAAGGCCUGGGCUGGUGAUGCAAAUAUUAAUAUCACAGUCCUGCCUGUCCUUGCACUGCACAGCAGCCAACUGUUUGUUGGUCUUUCCUUGUGAAGGCAACCAGCUUCCGUGGAGCUGCCCUUGUGCUUAAAAUAUCCUACAGCAGUGUGAAAGAAAGGAGAAAAAUGGUGCUUGCAUAAUGAUCGUAAUAUUGAUUUAAAAAAUAAAAGGAAAGUCAGUACCUCAGGAGCUAAAGAUGUUCUUAUCUAGUUUCUUAAAUAGUCCUAUCUGAGAAAAAUAUGGUGUUUAAAAAAAACCCAAACUCCAAACAUGGCAUUUUCUCCACAUCUUUUGCCAUUCUGUCUUCUCAUAGAAGAAAGAAAAGGCCCCCCAGCCUCUGACUGGCAUUACUUUCAAUAAAGCGUGUGAAGUAAGCAAUUUUCUUCUUUCUUUUUUUUUCUUUCAAGCUAAUUGUCUAUUUAGUUAAUUGACAAUUGGUUUCAAUUGCUGUCAAAUGGGGACAGUCACUGCAUUUUUGCAAGAUUUCUAAAUAAAAGCCUUCUCUCACUGCCCAGCCUAUCCAUGUUAACAAAGACGACUGUGAGUGUAUCAUCCAAUUAGCAACAAAAUGAAAAACUACAGUGCUCCCGCCGGAAGAUUAUGGUUCACGUACAGUAAUUUGGAGCUGUUUUGGGUACAGAAGGUCUGCUUGCACACAGCAACAGAGGGUCAGAUUGCCAACAGAACCACAACAUUGACUCUGGCUCUCUUAGGAAGCAAGUUAACCUCGCUAUGAGCAGCAGGAGCCAGCAGCCCACAGAGCCCCUUCAAACAGAGGGACAGAAGCAGUGGGGAGACAGAAAGACAGUAAAAAAGUCAUUCAUCCUUGAUUUUUCUCUUGGCUGUAAGGCUUGUGAUAACAAACUACGGUGGAAGCGUUGUGCUGCUAUAAAUGAAUUUGCAGUUGAGUCAUGCUCAGCCAGACAAUAGCCUGGCGGUCACCCCCAUGAGCAUCACAGGCAGCAAUUCCCACCCUGGAGCAUCCCACAGUUCAGCAAUAAUGACCAUGAUGGUGAUUUCUCACCACAAACAGUGGGAUACGGAAAAAAAAAAGACACCUCUCACUUACCACAACAAAUUCCCUCCCAAUUUUUCCGGCACUAAAGCAGACCACCUCGCUCACCUGACUGGCUUGGCACAGAAUCAUGCUCCAUUGUCUUGACUGACAUAUGCUUAAUUCCUCCCCAACAACUGCGACUUCAUCAAGGUGCUGCACAGUGGGAAAGGCAUCCUCAUUGCCAAAUAAAAGUUGUUCCCACAUGAGCUGUUUGCAGAAGCUGAAGUGCUCUGCUUACUCCGGAAUACUAACCAGCUGCUUACUUUCACAAGUGUUUGUUCCCACCCAUCACCAGCCUUUAGGUUAAUCCAGCGCGUCUUCCCUACUCAUUAAAAAAAAAAGAGCAGGGCAGAAGAACUGCAGAGGGAAGCUCUGAAUGAAGAAUGCUGGAAAAUGUGCUGACUUGGGGGUACUAAAGUUAAAAUGUGCGUUUCUGAGAUCAGCAAGUCCAUGUGCCAACCCAACUGAGUAUGAACAGGGCUACGAUCAGCACAUCAGUUCAAAAUACAGUGCAGAGCAUCAAGUGCAAAAUGGCCAUAAUAUUAUCUUUGCUAGCAAAUUCCUUAAUAAUUUACUGAGGAAGUGCAAAUUAAAGUUAGGAAAGGGCUGAGUGCCCUAAUUAAAACUGAUCUUUUCCAGCUCAUAUAGCUGAUCCUAUUGAGAUGUUUUAAAGUAUUCAAUUCUAAGACCAGUUUUCUCCUGCCUCUCAGCUGUCUUCUUUGUCCAUUUUUGCAAAGAAAAUAAUUCAAAUGAGUUUUGAGAAGUGCAAUGUUAUGAAUAUAUUGUUACACAAAACAGAUGAAAAGCAGGUAUUUGUUUGAAAUAGUAUUUCCAUCUCAGCUUAUCCCAGAAGUCAAGGGUGAUGGCACCUACACGACAGUCAAUUGCAUUCACCCAGGCCCCUCACACAUACACCCUAACGAUGAAUGAAUGAAUAAAUAAAAGUUAAAGAAAGUGCUGGAUUCACUGUAGUCGUGACUGAGCCAUGCUUAAGUAAGCAAGAAGAUGAACUGUCAAGAGCUUCUUCUUGGUUUUGAGCUGUUCAGCUGAACUACUGAAAUGUUCCUUCAUGAAUAGAUACGCAGCUGUAUUAAACAUGGGAAAAAUAAUUAAAAAAGAAUAAUUUGGUUUAUAAUAAUAUGGUAAAAAGGCUACACAGCGUUCGCUUAGUGCGGCUAUUUCCAGGCAGCUGACUAGAUUACAUGUAAAAUAAUCCCAUGUCUUCCAUACAAAUAGUGCACCGUGGGUCUGCCAAGGCUGAACGUUACAAUACUGUAAAAGUGAAGCUGGAAUUCUUCCUGAUCUAAUUAUGCAAAAGCUGUGUUUCAAGCCAAAGACCAUUGAAAUUAUCAGCCAUCACACCCACCUGUACCGCAAGACUUAAUAUUAAUUAUUCUGGCCUCUAAAUGAUCACGAUGCAGGAAUUCUGAUUUCCCAUAGACAGAAAAUGGGAAAUCUGCUAUAAAAAAGGUUUUUAGUGUCUUCAAGUUUCUGUCAUAGUACAGAAGCCUCAUUAGCAUGGCUGUAGGCACUGUGUACAUUAAGAGGGCAAAGACUUGCUCUCUCUAUUGCAUACUGUCUUUGCAUCGUGUUUGCCGUCAGCAGGGGACAUGAUUAACAAAUAAUUUAUGGAUUAGUAAGUUUAAGUCAUUAGGUCAAUACUGAGUUUGUUAAAUGCCUUUAUAUCACCACAGGUUUAAUGUCCUGCAGCUACCCUACAGUGGUUGACCAGAACAAUUAGAAAUUUUAUUUAGAUGGAUUUAAUGCUAGGGGCAUGAAUAAACAAACAAGAAAAGAAAAAGUAAAUUUAAAAAGUAUUUGGAAAAAGCGUUGGGUACUUGGGGAAACUUGGAAAAUGUUCUUACAUAUUCAGCAUACAAUUACAUUCCAUAUGAUCAAUGACUCUACGUAUGGGAUUUAUUCUUUAUUUUCUCCACUUAAUGAAAAUUGGAUUUUUUUUUUCCCCUCCAUAUCCUCAUGAUUUUUUUCAGGACUAUAACGUAGCCCAGGAUUCCAUUCUAUAAUCAUGAAUUUUUGAAGGAGCUUCUUUAAGGCUCCAGAGUAGUGAUUUUCUGCACCACUGACCCUGCCUUUUUUUUAUUAACAGAGAUUGAUUUUCUCCAUCUUGCCAUGUGAAGUUCCAGGGUGUAUCCACUGGAUCACCACCCUAUAAUGUGCAGCGAUACCAACAGCACAAGAUGUGAAUACUUCAACGUUAUCAGAAAUAACAGCUUUUAGAUCACCAGUGUGAGAAGAAACUGGCAGUCAUGAAGCCACCAAAAGCUGUUUGCUAUAGCAAUGGAAACAUACAAUUAUCUUGAAGCUAUUUAAUCUGGAUAAGAUCUAUUAGUUCCCACAGAUAGGUUCCAAUCCAAAAAUAUUGCCAUUUCGCUUAAAUUUUACCUAUUUUGAGGAAUCCUAGUGAUUUCAGUGGGAGCAAUUCACCAAAUAUGAAUAUGUACAAAUCUUGUAGGACUGCAAUUAGGAAGCCUGACUGUGUAAUUGUGACUGUAUACAACAGUCACUAGUCACAGCAAAAGACAUGCUCAUCAAAAAGCUGUGUGGGCUUUUGAAAGCAGAUGCUGUAUCAGUGCGGUGCGCAGCUUUAUUUUGGCUACGCCUCUUCCAGGUGAGUUCUCGUAGAGGCAUCACGGGUAGCACAAAGCCCUCAGGAGGUGCUGUAAAGCUGAAAUAACUGCUGCUAGAAUGAAGAAACUACUGCUAAACAGGAAUUUGUGUAAGGCUGGAAUUCUCCUUGAAUUUACUACAAACUAAAGGCACGUGGACUGGCCAAGCAUUGAGGCAAGGAAGAAAAUUAAAUAAAAACUUAUAUAGAAAAGACACUUAAUUCCUUCAUCAGGAAGCCUGCUUACUGGCAGAAGUGAUAGAAAGGCACAAUUUUUCUGGAAGGUGAUUGCUAAAAACUUCAGAGCAUGGAAUUGCCUGGGACAGUGUAAUAGGCAUGAAUUUAUCGAGUGAAACACAAACUGCCAGGGGUGUAUAAAUUAAUAUAGGACAAACCUUCCAGAAAUAGUAUAAUGGAGCCCAAGGAAGCAGCUAGAUAUCCAGCAUCUCCAGACUAAGAUCUCAGGUUGUCACUAGGUAUUCUAUGAAUCUACAGGAAAAGCACUGGAAAGAUCCUGUAAUUAUCCCCUCAACAUUGUUCCUUACACAGAAAAUCAGAUACAUAAACUCAGAGAAAAAUGUAGACAGUGAACUGAAGCAAAACCCCUAUUAAUUACAAAUAUAGAGAUGCAGAGGUUUAAGUUUUGUUGAUUACUCUCUUUUUCUAGCCUUAACGGUGCAUCAGUCAUGCAAACUUGUUCCAGAACAUCUUUGGCCAGAUUUUAAAUGGCAUUUAGGCACAUUAUUGAAUACCUAUUUAAAACUUGGUGUGUCACCUCUCAGCAUGCUCUGCCCAUGGAAUGGAUGCACUGCCUGAUGAAUCCAGGGAAAAAGACUCGGUAGUUGUAAACAAUGCUGAAAUUUAAUUGAGACGGGAACUGUGCACGAUCAUGUUACUGUUCCCCUGUCUUUUGGUGAUGCUUCACUUCUGUGACUGUGUUAAUUAACCUAAGCAAGCCUUAAUCGGGGCAAGAGAACUAAUGCAAGAUACAUACAGAAAGAAGACACUCUUCUGAUUACCGCAGAAGAAAUUAAUCUUGUUAGAGUAAGCCUGUAACGUGGUUUAAAAGUUCUGCAAGAUGCCCAGGAGAACACCUGACAGAUGUCAAACACGGCUGCCUUUCAUAAUCUGGCGUACAAAGUUCUGAAAUGUAAUUUACUUGAUAUGAGUAAGAAGGAAAGAAGACCCACUUUAUCCCCAAAUGUUUCUCUUCUGCAUCGGUGCUGAGCUGCACUGAACACGUGCAUCUCUGAUGAUCCUGGAAACAUGGUACAGGGAAACCACUGCAAAUUCCUGAAUGAUCAAGUCCUCUAUAAAUAUUUCAAUACCUUCCAAUGCUUGUACCUAUGCUUUUUUAAUUUCUGUGGCUUUAGGGCAUCAGACUUGCCAGUCCUAGUUCAAAAAUCAGUGAAAUUCUGAUAUGUGAAAAGGAAGAAACUAUUCUUUAAACAUGGCCAGUUUUGUGAAACUUGGAAAGGUUCAUUAAGCAUUAAAUGCCCUUCGGCUCUAAACCACACUAACAGAGAAGAUCAACAUAUAUGGUACAAUCCUGCUAUUAUCUAGAAGCCAUUUUAAAAAUCAUAUUUAAUUUUUAUUGUUUCACACAUAUAGAAGUCCUCUUACUGCUUAGAAAUCUAUAAAGGAAAGCCUAUCUGUAAUUAAGACUCUUUGGAGAGAGAUCUUCUCUACUAGUGAAAGCAUGGGUUUGGGUUUUCAAAAAAUAAGAUUAAAAUAAUUUCCUCAAUGUCUAGCCAAAGGUAUUGUAUGAUAAAGCCCUUCGAUUGGUGGACUGCACUCCCAGUUUUGGUCAACGGCUAUUUACCACCUGCACUGCCUAUGGCUAAGGUAAUCUUCAGAUAGAAAAUGGGAGAUGGAAGCAUCCUGCAUGUUUUCCUUGUACUUCUACACUAUGAUGAAAUACUCUUCUCUAGGUAUGUGUCACUGAUCAUCUUUUGGUGGUGAACUUGCUCAACCUUGGAUCUGAUCUGCUACGGCUUCUUAUGAUCAUCUCUCACAGGUGUCCCAGUCAAGCAGAGGAACCAAACCCUCCUGGCUGAGCAAAGCACCAAAAGCUACCUUCCGAGCAGGUCAACUGAAAAUCGGGAGCUGCCUCAAUACAUGACCCGCAUGGACAUUACAGAAAACAGGGAUGUUGGAAAAGAUGUGCUCCUUGAAAACAUGCUGGGAUAGAUCCUGCCUGCUCAACCUGGGUGAGAAAUAGAGUCAUCUUACAUCACUGCAGGCAGCUGAAGCAGACCUGAAACAUAACAUCUCAAAAAAAAAGCUGUACCAUUGAGUUGCAUAACAGAGUGGGACACAAGGACAGUGAAAUCAUGCAAAGCCUGGUACCUUCCACCCACCAGCAACAAGCUGCAGCAAGAAUGCGCCAAGAAAAAGUUGCACCAUCCGGCAGACGACAGUGGCACAAAGAGACAACACUUUGUCAGCCUGGCUGCUGCAAAGGGGAAAUGUCUGCAAGCUGGUAAGAGCAGCUGAGAAAGGAAACGUGUUCCUGUUCCAGUAGCCCUUUUACACAAUUAUUCUUGUGUUCGUCUACACGAUCGCUGCCACUGGUGGAAACCGGCACUGGUGCUGCUGGGGCUGCAGAGCACACGGCAGUUACUUUGCUCCUGGAACAAAGUGGCUUGGCUGGCAUUUGUUAAAACACCACUUGGGAGCAAGGGGCAAGAAGGGCAGCACCACCUUUCUGCUGCCGCAUCUUUCUCCCCGGCUGUACCAUCCCAAAAUGCUGCUUUGAGUUACAGGGGCUGUGAGGGGCUGCAGGAGAUGGGUAAGCUGGGAUGGGGUUCAGCAGGCAGCACAGGCAUUACCUGCCCUCAGUACAAAGAACGGGCAGCGCUUCUGGAGCACUGCAUCACCAAACAGGUUUGUGGUUGCAGCUUCCCGAGCGCCAGGGAGCUCCCCAGCCAGGCGCUGCAGAAGUAGCAGGGCUAAUGAGGAGAGUGUGGGAUUUACUGCUGUAUCCUAGAUACAGGACAUCUGCCCUGGGGUAAGGAGAUGGAAGAGAUCUCCUUCAGCCUGUCAUCCGUGAAUUUAUGCAGAUUUAUAUUAAAGUGCUAAAACCCAAUAAUCUAAUCAGUGUUUGCAGCAAACUUUAAAUCUGUCUGUUUAAUGACAAGCAGGGACAUGACCCUUUCAGCAGCGGAUGCUCCUAAAAUUAUGUGGAAAAAAGGAAAGCACACAAAGGUUUCUCUCUUUUGAGGGAAGCGCAGCUGAACGAACAACAGUCAGAACAAGUGCUACAGUCCUUCCCGUGGGAAUACGUGAUAAUGGGGAAUGCUGUUUCUGUGGUAACCUGCAACCUGGCUGAAAGCCUGUCUGUACAACUGCUGUGAGUUAUGAUGGGUAAAUCGAUGUGGAAGUGAUCUCCUUGUCCUUUGCCGCUUUGGUGAGGUGCCACCCUAUGUUCCUGAGGGUAAACUUGUGGAGACAGUGCUCUUCCACCUGAAGGCGAGGCAGGUAGCUCUCCCAAGCACAGCCUCAGCUCAGCUCUGACCUCCCCAAACUACCACCAUGCCGCCUCGCUGACAUGAAAGGAGAAACACGGGGUCCACCCCAGAGGAAGCGCUUAAGAGAGAGAUGCUGCUGAACGAGCUCUUUUUCUGCACACUAGAAAUUGCCUCUGCUCACUGACUGCGAGAAGCUGCAAAUGGAAGAUAAAUAACAGCAUGAGCAGCAGGAGAAGAAAUAAUGCCACAUUACAUCAAACAGAUCCUUGCUUCACUGUCAGCUUAGAGUCUAUUCCGCACGAAAGGACAGCCUUGCCAUUUGGCCUGUAUAUUUUAUU